GUGGGGAAUAUUGGACAAUGGGGGGAACCCUGAUCCAGCCAUGCCGCGUGUGUGAAGAAGGCCUUUUGGUUGUAAAGCACUUUAAGCGAGGAGGAGGCUACCGAGAUUAAUACUCUUGGAUAGUGGACGUUACUCGCAGAAUAAGCACCGGCUAACUCUGUGCCAGCAGCCGCGGUAAUACAGAGGGUGCAAGCGUUAAUCGGAUUUACUGGGCGUAAAGCGCGCGUAGGUGGCCAAUUAAGUCAAAUGUGAAAUCCCCGAGCUUAACUUGGGAAUUGCAUUCGAUACUUGUUGGCUAGAGUAUGGGAGAGGAUGGUAGAAUUCCAGGUGUAGCGGUGAAAUGCGUAGAGAUCUGGAGGAAUACCGAUGGCGAAGGCAGCCAUCUGGCCUAAUACUGACACUGAGGUGCGAAAGCAUGGGGAGCAAACAGGAUUAGAAACCCCGGUAGUCC
rnacentral:rRNA from 1 species